UACGGGAGGCAGCAGUGGGGAAUAUUGCACAAUGGGGGAAACCCUGAUGCAGCAACGCCGCGUGAGUGAUGAAGGCCUUCGGGUUGUAAAGCUCUGUCUUCAGGGACGAUAAUGACGGUACCUGAGGAGGAAGCCACGGCUAACUACGUGCCAGCAGCCGCGGUAAUACGUAGGUGGCAAGCGUUGUCCGGAUUUACUGGGCGUAAAGGGAGCGUAGGCGGAUACUUAAGUGGGAUGUGAAAUACCUGGGCUUAACUUGGGUGCUGCAUUCCAAACUGGGUGUCUAGAGUGUUGGAGAGGAAAGUGGAAUUCCUAGUGUAGCGGUGAAAUGCGUAGAGAUUAGGAAGAACACCAGUGGCGAAGGCGACUUUCUGGACAAUAACUGACGCUGAGGCUCGAAAGCGUGGGGAGCAAACAGGAUUAGAUACCCUGGUAGUCCACGCCGUAAACGAUGGGUACUAGGUGUAGGGGGCAUCGACUCC
rnacentral:rRNA from 1 species